GAAUUUGCAGCCCUCCUUCCUUAGCAGCAGGCCCAGUGUCAACUAUUUUUGAUACAAAAAUUCCUUCGCUGGCUGAACCAUCUUGAUUGUCCACGCAUGGUCGGCCACCAAUAAUAUUAAAUCCAAGAGAGCCUGAGUCACGGUGGAGGACGAGAGUCAGUGCUUUAGUUUCUUCACCCUUGCCGGGAGAGGCGGAGCGGGCGCGGGCCAGGGCGUCCAGGCGGGCGCUGUACUGCGUGAAGCGCUUCUGGUAGCGCAGCGCCGUCACCUGCAGCUCCAGCUGCGCCGCCGCCAGCCGCGACAGCAGCGACUGCUCCCGCUUCCCGGCGCGCAGCGCCUCCUUCUUCAGCGCCUUCUCCAGCGCCGCCGCCCGCGCCUGCAGAGCGGCCCCGUGGGCGCGCAGGGCCCGCAGGCAGCUGUGGCCGCCGCUCCGGCGCUCGCCGUGCGUGAGCAUCAGGCCGCAGCCCUGCUCGCACAGUCCGGCCGGCCGCGCCUCGCAGCGCUCCCGCAUGUGCGCCUCCACGUCGCGCAGGUUGAGCACCUGGCGGCAGCCGCGGUUGCGGCACUUGGCGGGGGAGAAGUCGCAGGUCUCGGCGUGCUCUCCCAGGUGCUGCAGCGGCACCACCGCCUCGCAGCCCCGCGCGUGGUUGUCGCACUUGAUGUCCAGCUUGAGGAUGAGGCUCUUGAGCGGCAGGACGUGGUUGAGCUCCUUGGCGGAGAUGCGCUGGCAGUUGGCGGGGCAGCUGCCCUGCUGCACCACCCAGGGCAGCACGCAGCCGGCGCAAAACACGUGGCCGCAGGGGGUGGUCAGCGGGUCCUCCAGCACCUUGUUGCACAGGUUGCACUUGAAGUCGGGGUCCACUUCCCCGCUGAAGCGAUCCAGCUCGAAUCCCAUCCUCCUUCCGCUUUCCGAAAAAUAAUAACAAUUAAAAAGAAAACAAAAAACAAAACCCCAGCCGAAGUAAGCGAAGCGCAGACGGGACGAGGGAAGCCAAGUAAAACCGGCAGCCCCAACUCCCCGCGGGCAGUCCGGCCCGCAGAGCCGUCACGGAGCGGCCGUUCGGUCUCCGCCGCUCCCGCGGAGCGCCCGGCCCCGCUGCCCCGCGCCCUCCUCGCGCCGCCGCGCGCUGCACUGCCGGGCGCCGCCUGCACACAGCUCCGCCGCGCGCCCCGCCC
rnacentral:lncRNA from 1 species